rnacentral:rRNA from 1 species
AGAGUUUGAUCCUGGCUCAGGAUGAACGCUGGCGGCGUGCCUAAUACAUGCAAGUCGAACGGGUUGCCAUAAGGCAGCCAGUGGCGAACGGGUGAGGAGCACAUGGGGAACCUGCCCGUCAGAGGGGGACAACAGCUGGAAACGGCUGCUAAGACCGCAUAGGCUCAAGGAGGGCAUCCUCGUUGAGUUAAAGUGUCCUUUCGGGGACAGCUGACGGAUGGACCUGUGGCGCAUUAGCCAGUUGGCGGGGUAAAGGCCCACCAAAGCGACGAUGCGUAGCCGGCCUGAGAGGGCGGACGGCCACACUGGGACUGAGACACGGCCCAGACUCCUGCGGGAGGCAGCAGUAGGGAAUUUUCGGCAAUGGGGGGAACCCUGACCGAGCAACGCCGCGUGAGUGAGGAAGGCCUUCGGGCUGUAAAGCUCUGUUGCAGAGGAAGAACGGGAGAGCGAGGAAAUGCGCUUUUCGUGACGGUACUCUGCGAGGAAGCCACGGCUAACUACGUGCCAGCAGCCGCGGUAAUACGUAGGUGGCAAGCGUUAUCCGGAAUCAUUGGGCGUAAAGAGGGAGCAGGCGGACGCGAAGGUCCGUAGUAAAAGCCCGAAGCUAAACUUCGGGCGGCUAUGGAAACCGCGCGCCUGGAGUGCGGAAGAGGAUCGCGGAAUUCCAUGUGUAGCGGUGAAAUGCGUAGAUAUAUGGAGGAACACCGGUGGCGAAGGCGGCGGUCUGGUCCGGCACUGACGCUCAUUCCCGAAAGCGUGGGGAGCAAAUAGGAUUAGAUACCCUAGUAGUCCACGCUGUAAACGAUCGAUACCAGGUGUCGGGAGUCACAUCCCGGUGCCGAAGCCAACGCAUUAAGUAUCGCGCCUGAGUAGUACGUCCGCAAGGAUGAAACUCAAAGGAAUUGACGGGGGCCCGCACAAGCGGUGGAGCAUGUGGUUUAAUUCGAAGCAACGCGAAGAACCUUAGAUCGGAAGAGCA